GGGGGAAACCCUGAUGCAGCGACGCCGCGUGGAGGAUGACGGCCUUCGGGUUGUAAACUCCUUUUGUCAGGGACAAUGGUGAUGGUACCUGACGAAUAAGCCACGGCUAACUCUGUGCCAGCAGCCGCGGUAAGACAGAGGUGGCGAGCGUUGUUCGGAAUUACUGGGCUUAAAGGGCGCGUAGGCGGUGGUGUAAGUCUGGGGUGGAAUGCUACAGCUCAACUGUAGAGCUGCCUUGGAAACUGCAUUACUUGAGUCGGUGAGGGGAAGGCGGAAUUCCUGGUGUAGCGGUGAAAUGCGUAGAUAUCAGGAGGAAGGUCUGUGGCGAAGGCGGCCUUCUGGCACUUGACUGACGCUGAGGCGCGAAAGCGUGGGGAGCAAACAGGAUUAGAUACCCUGGUAGUCCACGCCCUAAACGGUGGGUAUUAGGUGUGGGGCCUUCAUGGGUUCCGUGCCGUAGCGAAAGCAUUAAAUACCCCGCCUGGGGAGUACGGCCGCAAGGUUGAAACUCAA
rnacentral:rRNA from 1 species